CAUGAGUUGAAUGAGUGAUGACUGUGAGUGCAUGCAUGUAUGAGUUGAAUGAGUGAUGACUGUGUGAGUGCAUGCAUGUAUGAGUUGAAUGAGUGAUGACUGUGUGAGGGCAUGCAUGUAUGAGUUGAAUGAGUGAUGACUGUGUGAGGGCAUGCAUGUAUGAGUUGAAUGAGUGAUGACUGUGUGAGGGCAUGCAUGUAUGAGUUGAAUGAGUGAUGAUGGUGUGAGUGCAUGCAUGUAUGAGUGCAUGAGUCGAAUGAGUGAACUUACUUGGAGAAGAGCCUUCACGUGUCCAUCCGAAAGAGACAGCAAAGGAACCCAGAUUCUUGCCGAAACUGUCAAUGGCAAUCAACGCAAGCUACAGUCAGGCCUUCCUGAUCUAGAUGAAUACCUAGGAUGAUCGAUGGUCUGUGGAUACCAGGCACUGUGCUGAGGGCUGUUCCUGCAUCAGCUCAGCCUUGGGGACAGGGGGUCCACUUUCAAAUCCGUCCAGCCCCUGAGG
rnacentral:lncRNA from 1 species